GACGUAGGGCGCGAGCGUUGUCCGGAUUUAUUGGGCGUAAAGAGCUCGUAGGCGGCUUGUCGCGUCGUCCGUGAAAACCUGCAGCUCAACUGCAGGCUUGCGGUCGAUACGGGCAGGCUAGAGUUCGGUAGGGGAGACUGGAAUUCCUAGUGUAGCGGUGAAAUGCGCAGAUAUUAGGAGGAACACCGGUGGCGAAGGCGCCACUCUGGGCCGAAACUGACGCUGAGGAGCGAAAGCGUGGGGAGCAACAGG
rnacentral:rRNA from 1 species